rnacentral:rRNA from 1 species
GAUGAACGCUGGCGGCGUACCUAAUACAUGCAAGUCGAGCGAACAGACGAGGAGCUUGCUCCUCGGACGUGAGCGGCGGACGGGUGAGUAACACGUGUAUAACCUACCUAUAAGACUGGGAUAACUUCGGGAAACCGGAGCUAAUACCGUAUAAUAUAUUGAACCGCGUGGUGCAAUAGUGAAAGUCGGUUUUUGUGUCAGUUAUAGAUGGAUCUGCGCCUCAUUAGCUAGUUGGUAAGGUAACGGCUUACCAAGGCAACGAUGCGUAGCCGACCGGAUGGGCUGGUCGCCCACAUGGGAGCUGGACCAGCGUCCAGACUCCUGCGGGAGGGAGCAGUAGGGAACCUGCCGCAAUGGGGGAAAGCCUGACGGAGCAGCGCCGCGUGAGUGGUGAAGGUCUUCGGAUCGUAAAGACCUGUUAUUAGGGAAAAACAAAUGUGUAAGUAACUAUGCCCGUCUUGACGGUACCUAAUAAGAAAGCAACGGCUAACUACGUG